UUGAACGCUGGCGGCGUGCUUUACACAUGCAAGUCGAGCGGCAGCAUGACCUUCGGGUCGAUGGCGAGCGGCGAACGGGUGAGUAAUACAUCGGAACGUACCUUUUAGUGGGGGAUAACGCAUCGAAAGAUGUGCUAAUACCGCAUAAUCUCUGAGGAGGAAAGGCGGGAUCACGCAAGUGACCUGUCGCUGAAAGAGCGGCCGAUGGUCGAUUAGCUAGUUGGCGGGGUAAAAGCCCACCAAGCCAACGAUCUGUAGCUGGUCUGAGAGGACGACCAGCCACACUGGAACUGAGACACGGUCCAGACUCCUACGGGAGGCAGCAGUGGGGAAUUUUGGACAAUGGACGCAAGUCUGAUCCAGCCAUUCCGCGUGCAGGAUGAAGGCCCUCGGGUUGUAAACUGCUUUUGUACGGAACGAAAAGGUUUCCAUUAAUACUGGGAGCUCAUGACGGUACCGUAAGAAUAAGCACCGGCUAACUACGUG
rnacentral:rRNA from 1 species